UCUGAGCUGUCUGCUCAGCUCCCUCACGCGCCGCACAGUGAGGCUGGGAGCCGGAAUAUGACGUCAUAUUCCGGCUCCCAGCCUCACUCUGCGGCGUGCGAGGGAGCUGAGCGGACAGCUCAGA
rnacentral:miRNA from 1 species